rnacentral:rRNA from 1 species
UCAUCUCCGGGGGUAGAGCACUGUUUCGGCAAGGGGGUCAUCCCGACUUACCAACCCGAUGCAAACUGCGAAUACCGGAGAAUGUUAUCACGGGAGACACACGGCGGGGGCUAACGUCCGUCGUGAAGAGGGAAACAACCCAGACCGCCAGCUAAGGUCCCAAAGUCAUGGUUAAGUGGGAAACGAUGUGGGAAGGCCCAGACAGCCAGGAUGUUGGCUUAGAAGCAGCCAUCAUUUAAAGAAAGCGUAAUAGCUCACUGGUCGAGUCGGCCUGCGCGGAAGAUGUAACGGGGCUAAACCAUGCACCGAAGCUGCGGCAGCGACGCUGAUGCGUUGUUGGGUAGGGGAGCGUUCUGUAAGCCUGUGAAGGUGUGCUGUGAGGCAUGCUGGAGGUAUCAGAAG